rnacentral:rRNA from 1 species
UUUACCAAAAACAUGGCUUCUUGAGAAAAAAUUUAUAAGGAGUCGGACCUGCCCAGUGAAAUUUUUUAACGGCCGCGGUACUCUGACCGUGCAAAGGUAGCAUAAUCAUUUGCCUUAUAAUUGAAGGCUAGUAUGAAUGGUUUGACAAGAAUAUGACUGUCUCUUUACAAUUAAUUAGAAUUUUAUAUUAAGGUGAAGAAGCCUUAGUAAAAUUAAAAGACAAGAAGACCCUAUCGAGCUUUAAAAAAAUUUAUAGAAGAAUUAUUUAUAAAUUUUAGAAAAUUGACUAUAAAAUAUUUUAGUUGGGGCGACUGAGGAACAAAUAAAGCUUCCUUUUAAUAUUAAAUACGCACGAGUACUUGAUCCAAAGUUUUUGAUUAAAGAAAUUAGUUACCGUAGGGAUAACAGCAUUAUCUUUUUUGAGAGUUCUUAUCGAAAAAAAGGUUUGUGACCUCGAUGUUGGACCAGAAUAUCCUAAAGAUGCAGAAGUCUUUAAGGGUUGGUCUGUUCGACCAUUAAAAUUCUACGUGAUCUGAGUUCAGACCGG